rnacentral:rRNA from 1 species
AGUGAACGCUGGCGGUAGGCCUAACACAUGCAAGUCGAACGGCAGCACAGUAAGAGCUUGCUCUUACGGGUGGCGAGUGGCGGACGGGUGAGGAAUACAUCGGAAUCUACUUUUUCGUGGGGAGAAAGGUGGGGAACUUACGGUUAAUACGGAAACGACCUUCGGGGUAAAGGCAGGGAAUUUUGGACCUUUGGCGGUUGAAUGGGGCGAUGUCGGAUUAGCUAGUUGGCGGGGUAAAGGCCCACCAAGGCGACGAUCCGUAGCUGGUCUGAGAGGAUGAUCAGCCACACUGGAACUGAGACACGGUCCAGACUCCUACGGGAGGCAGCAGUGGGGAAUAUUGGACAAUGGGCGCAAGCCUGAUCCAGCCAUACCGCGUGGGUGAAGAAGGCCUUCGGGUUGUAAAGCCCUUUUGUUGGGAAAGAAAAGCAGCAGGUUAAUACCCCGCUGUUCUGACGGUACCCAAAGAAUAAGCACCGGCUAACUUCGUG